AGAGUUUGAUCCUGGCUCAGGAUGAACGCUAGCGGCAGGCUUAACACAUGCAAGUCGAGGGGUAGAGGUUGCUUGCAACCUUGAGACCGGCGCACGGGUGCGUAACGCGUAUGCAACCUACCUUUUACAGAGGGAUAGCCCAGAGAAAUUUGGAUUAAUACCUCAUAGUAUAUAUCUUUCGCAUGUUAGGUAUAUUAAAGUUCCAACGGUAAAAGAUGGGCAUGCGUCCUAUUAGCUAGAUGGUAAGGUAACGGCUUACCAUGGCUACGAUAGGUAGGGGUCCUGAGAGGGAGAUCCCCCACACUGGUACUGAGACACGGACCAGACUCCUACGGGAGGCAGCAGUGAGGAAUAUUGGACAAUGGGCGCAAGCCUGAUCCAGCCAUGCCGCGUGCAGGAAGAAGCAUCUAUGGUGUGUAAACUGCUUUUGUACAGGAAGAAACAUCCCGACGUGCCGGGACUUGACGGUACUGUAAGAAUAAGGAUCGGCUAACUCCGUGCCAGCAGCCGCGGUAAUACGGAGGAUCCAAGCGUUAUCCGGAAUCAUUGGGUUUAAAGGGUCCGUAGGCGGUUUGGUAAGUCAGUGGUGAAAGCCCGCAGCUCAACUGUGGAACGGCCAUUGAUACUGCCAGACUUGAAUUACAAGGAAGUAACUAGAAUAUGUAGUGUAGCGGUGAAAUGCUUAGAUAUUACAUGGAAUACCAAUUGCGAAGGCAGGUUACUACUUGUGGAUUGACGCUGAUGGACGAAAGCGUGGGGAGCGAACAGGAUUAGAUACCCUGGUAGUCCAA
rnacentral:rRNA from 1 species